GUCUGGUCCGAGGCGGCCUCGGCCGCCGGGGU
rnacentral:scRNA from 1 species